rnacentral:lncRNA from 1 species
GCAAGAGUAAACAACAGAUUUUCAAUGUAGAGGGAAUAGCCUUCUACUGGAAGAAGAUGCCAUCUAGGACUUUCAUGGCUAGAGAGUAGAAGUCAAUGCCUACUUCCAGAGCUUCUAAGGACAGGCUGACUUUUUUCUUAGGACUAAUGAAGCUAGUAAUUUUAAGUUGAAGUCAAUGCUCAUUUACCAUUCUGAAAAUCCUAGGGCCCUUAACAAUUAUACUAAAGCUACUCUGCCUGUGCUCUACAAAUGGAACCACAAGGCAUGGCAACACAUCUGUUUACAGCGUGGUUUAUUGAAUAUUUUAACAUGACUGUUGAGAUCUACUGUUUAGAAAAAAAAGAUUCCUUUCAAAACGCUACUGCUCAUUGACAAUGCAACUGGUCACCCAAGAGCUCUGAUGGAGAUGUACAAGGAAAUGAAUAUUGCUUUUAUGCCUGCUAACACAACAUCCAUUCUGCAGCCUGUGGGUCAAGAGUAAUUACUUUCCACUUUCAAGUCUUAUUAUUUAAAAAAUACAUUUUGUAAGUCUAUAGCUGCCAUACAUAGCUAUUCCUCUGAUGGAUCUGGGCAAGUAAAUUGAAAACCUGGAAAGGAUUCACCACUCUAGAUGCCACUAAGAACACUUGUAUUUCAUGGGAGGAAGUGAAAAUAUCAACAUUAACAAGAGUUUGGAAAAAGUUUAUUCCAACCCUCAGAGAUGACUGAGGGGUUCAAGACUUCAGUGGAGGAAGUAACUAUAGAUGUGGAAAUACCAACAGAACUAGAAUUAGAAGUGGAGCCUGAAGAGAUGACUAAAUUGCUACAAUAUCAUGAUAAUACUUCAACAGAUAACAAGUUGCUUCUUAUGGAGGAGCAAAUAAAGUGGUUUCUUGAGAUGGUAUCCACUUUUGGUGAAGAUUCUAUGAAUAUGGUUGAAAUGACAAAGAAGAAUUUAGAAUACUCAGUAAACUUAGUUAUAAACCAGUGGCAGGGUUUGAGAGGACUGAUUCCAAUUUAGAAAAAAAGGCCUAUUGUGGGUAAAAUGCUAUCAAACAGCAUUGCAUACUUCAGAGAAAUCUUUUGUGAAAGGAAGAGUCAAUGGGUAUGACAAACUUCACUGUUAUUUUAAGAAAUGGUCACAGCCACCCCAACCUUCAGCAACCACCACCCUAAUCAGUCAGCAGCCAUCAACAUCAGCAAGACCUUCCUCCAGGAUAAAGAUUAUGACUCGCUGAAGGUUCAGAAUAUGCUAAUCAAUGUUGGAGGAACAAAGUUAAAAUGAAUGUGCCACUGGAACAAAUUUUUAAAAUCAGAAAUAACUGGACUUCCCCACCCUCUAUGAAGUCUUCUUCUAACUGAUAACUUACCCUAGAAAGAUGAUGGAAGAAUCCAAGCAGAAGAAAAUGGAAAAAGGAUUGGCAAUACAUUUUUAAAGUUUUCUCUGAAUCCUAGUUACUGGAAAUGCUAAUUUUGGAAAAAUGAAUCCCAAAUCUCUUGAAUUUUAGUUGGCUAGAAGAGAGAAAGAGAAAUGAUUGAACUCCUACUUAAAUUACUUCCUUAUAAUUAAAAAUCCAUUCACCCAUAAUGCUAUUGAUUCUUUUCGUGGCUAACAUAGAUGUAGAAUAAUAAAUUACUAUUGUAUAUAUAAUUGUUAAUCCAGGUAAUUGCAUCCAGGAUAACUCUAUUAGUGGAAUAGCUUUGUGAGUGAUUUUUAUAUAUCACUAACAAUGAUUCAUGCCCUAUAUAAGACAAGAGAGUGGAAGGCUGCAGGCCUUUAUAUUCUCUGUUUAUAGAAUAAGCACCUAGACUGAAAUAUCAGAUUUCUC